GAUGAACGCUAGCUACAGGCUUAACACAUGCAAGUCGAGGGGCAGCAUGAUUGAAGCUUGCUUCAAUUGAUGGCGACCGGCGCACGGGUGAGUAACACGUAUCCAACCUUCCGUACACUCAGGGAUAGCCUUUCGAAAGAAAGAUUAAUACCUGAUGGUAUCUUAAGCACACAUGUAAUUAAGAUUAAAGAUUUAUCGGUGUACGAUGGGGAUGCGUUCCAUUAGGUAGUAGGCGGGGUAACGGCCCACCUAGCCUACGAUGGAUAGGGGUUCUGAGAGGAAGGUCCCCCACAUUGGAACUGAGACACGGUCCAAACUCCUACGGGAGCAGCAGUGAGGAAUAUUGGGUCCAAUGGGCGANAGCCUGAACCAGCCAAGUAGCGUGAAGGAUGAAGGUCCUACGG
rnacentral:rRNA from 1 species